AGAGUUUGAUCCUGGCUCAGAUUGAACGCUGGCGGCAGGCCUAACACAUGCAAGUCGAGCGGUAGAGAGAAGCUUGCUUCUCUUGAGAGCGGCGGACGGGUGAGUAAUGCCUAGGAAUCUGCCUGGUAGUGGGGGAUAACGUCCGGAAACGGACGCUAAUACCGCAUACGUCCUACGGGAGAAAGCAGGGGACCUUCGGGCCUUGCGCUAUCAGAUGAGCCUAGGUCGGAUUAGCUAGUUGGUGGGGUAAUGGCUCACCAAGGCGACGAUCCGUAACUGGUCUGAGAGGAUGAUCAGUCACACUGGAACUGAGACACGGUCCAGACUCCUACGGGAGGCAGCAGUGGGGAAUAUUGGACAAUGGGCGAAAGCCUGAUCCAGCCAUGCCGCGUGUGUGAAGAAGGUCUUCGGAUUGUAAAGCACUUUAAGUUGGGAGGAAGGGCAGUAAGCUAAUACCUUGCUGUUUUGACGUUACCGACAGAAUAAGCACCGGCUAACUCUGUGCCAGCAGCCGCGGUAAUACAGAGGGUGCAAGCGUUAAUCGGAAUUACUGGGCGUAAAGCGCGCGUAGGUGGUUUGUUAAGUUGGAUGUGAAAGCCCCGGGCUCAACCUGGGAACUGCAUCCAAAACUGGCAAGCUAGAGUACGGUAGAGGGUGGUGGAAUUUCCUGUGUAGCGGUGAAUGCGUAGAUAUAGGAAAGGAACACCAGUGGCGAACGCGACCACCUGGACUGAUACUGACACUGAGGUGCGAAGCGUGGGGAGCAAACAGGAUUAGAUACCCUGGUAGUCCACGCCGUAAACGAUGUCAACUAGCCGGUUGGAAUCUUGAGCUCUUAGUGGCGCAGCUAACGCAUUAAGUUGACCGCCUGGGGAGUACGGCCGCAAGGUUAAAACUCAAAUGAAUUGACGG
rnacentral:rRNA from 1 species